GGACUGUACCGUUCUCUUUGUCACAA
rnacentral:sRNA from 1 species